GAUGAACGCUAGCGGGAGGCUUAACACAUGCAAGUCGAGGGGCAUCACGAGGUAGCAAUACUUUGGUGGCGACCGGCGCACGGGUGAGUAACACGUAUGCAACCUGCCUGUAAGCGGGGAAUAACCCGUUGAAAGACGGACUAAUACCGCAUAAUACUAAAUUACUGCAUGGUAAUUUAUUUAAACAUUUAUGGCUUACAGAUGGGCAUGCGCAUGAUUAGCUAGUUGGAGAGGUAACGGCUCCCCAAGGCAACGAUCAUUAGGGGUUCUGAGAGGAAGGUCCCCCACACUGGUACUGAGACACGGACCAGACUCCUACGGGAGCAGCAGUGAGGAAUAUUGGUCAAUGGACGAGAGUCUGAACCAGCCAAGUCGCGUGCAGGAAGAAUGUCCUAUGGAUUGUAAACUGCUUUUGCAGGGGAAUAAAGUGCAUCACGUGUGAUUGUUUUGAUUGUACUCUGACGAAUAAGGAUCGGACUAACUCCGUGCC
rnacentral:rRNA from 1 species